rnacentral:tRNA from 2 species
AAAGACCUACAGGACUUUCUCCUACAUCAU